GCUCUCUGGUGUGAAGGAGGACAUCGUCACCAAACUGGACAAACGAGAGAUCAAGACCAACUACGUGAAUCCCAUCUACAUGAUCAUUGUCAUCAUCGCUGUUGUUCUCCUUCUUGUAACCAUCGUCUGUGUGGCUGGAUUCUGCCUGUACAAGAAGAGAAAUGCCAAACGCCCUCCAUCCCCGGUAAACGACCCGGCUGUGCAACAAAUGAUGCUUCCAAAUCAAAAUACCUGAAAGACAAAGAGAGGACCCUGAACCCAGUUUACGGGUACGUUCUGCACUGAAACAAGGAGCAGACCGACACGCUCUCCUCAGAAUUCAUUGGCUCUCAUCGUAUCAGACAUGAAGUGAUCAGAGUUGGGAAUUUAAAUUUAAAUCUUUGAAAUACAAAGAAAACAAGUUUGAAAAAGAGUUGACAAAUGCUUUACAAAUCUUGAUGAUUUAUUUUUUGUCACCUGGAGAGAAGAGAAUCAGAAGAUGAAUCUAUGACGGCAUCACGCCGCUCUUCAUGUGUUGAAGAAAGAUUUGUGUGUUGAUCUAAAAUCCAUCAUAGUUGGAUUUUUACUUCUGGUGUUCAGAGCUUUGUGCUAAAACAAAUGUUGGUGAUAAAUACGUUAAUAAAGACACACACACACACACACACACACACACACACACACACACACACACACACACAC